rnacentral:rRNA from 1 species
AUUGAACGCUGGCGGCAGGCCUAACACAUGCAAGUCGAGCGAACCUAGCUUGCUAGGUGAGCGGCGAACGGGUGAGUAACACGUAGGAAUCUGCCCGAUAGUGGGGGACAACGUCUCGAAAGGGACGCUAAUACCGCAUACGCCCUACGGGGGAAAGCAGGGGAUCUUCGGACCUUGCGCUAUCGGAUGAGCCUGCGUCGGAUUAGCUAGUUGGUGGGGUAAAGGUCUACCAAGGCGACGAUCCGUAGCUGGUCUGAGAGGAUGAUCAGCCACACCGGAACUGAGACACGGUCCGGACUCCUACGGGAGGCAGCAGUGGGGAAUAUUGGACAAUGGGGGCAACCCUGAUCCAGCCAUGCCGCGUGUGUGAAGAAGGCCUUCGGGUUGUAAAGCACUUUAAGCUGGGAGGAAGGUUCGCUGGCUAAUAUCCAGCGGGAUUGACGUUACCAGCAGAAUAAGCACCGGCUAACCCCGUGCCAGCAGCCGCCGUAA